GACGAACGCUGGCGGCGUGCUUAACACAUGCAAGUCGAACGGGAUCCAAAGGCUUUUUGUUUUUGGUGAGCGUGGCGAACGGGUGAGUAACACGUGAGUAACCUUCCCCCUUCUUUUGGAUAACCGCAUGAAAGUGUGGCUAAUACAGGAUAUUCCAGGCUGGUCGCAUGAUUGGUUUGGGAAAUGGGUUGGUCUGGUGGGGGAUGGGCUCGCGGCCUAUCAGCUUGUUGGUGGGGUGAUGGCCUACCAAGGCGGUGACGGGUAGCCGGCCUGCGAGGGGGGUCAGCGACACUGGGAGGGAGAGAGGGCCCAGACUGGGGCGGGAGGCAGCAGGGGGGAAGAUUGGACGAUGGGCGGGAGGCUGAGGCAGCAAGGCUGGGUGAGUGAUGAAGGCGUGAGGGGUGUAAAGCUCUUUUACACGGGAUGAUAAUGACAGUACCGGGAGAAGAAGCUCCGGCUAACGCCGU
rnacentral:rRNA from 1 species